UGAAUACGAGACGCUAAGGCGUCGAAGUAGUGUAUGUCAUACUUCCAAGAAAAGCUUGCACUGUCAUAGAUAAAAAACGCCUGUACCAUAACCGACACAGGUGGGUAGGUAGAGUAUACUAAGGGGCGCGAGAUAACUCUCUCUCUAAGGAACUCGGCAAAAUAACUCCGUAACUUCGGGAGAAGGAGUGCCUUAUUCUUAAGGUUGCAAUAACAAGAUCCAAGCAACUGUUUAUCAAAAACACAGGUCUCCGCUAAGUCGUAAGACGAUGUAUGGGGGCUGACGCCUGCCCAGUGCCAGAAGGUUAAAGAAGCUGGUUAGCAUUUGCGAAGCUAGUAACUGAAGCCCUGGUGAACGGCGGCCGUAACAAUAACGGUCCUAAGGUAGCGAAAUUCCUUGUCGGGUAAGUUCCGACCCGCACGAAAGGCGUAAUGAUUUGGAUACUGUCUCGGAGAGGGGCUCGGUGAAAUAGACUUGUCUGUGAAGAUGCGGACUACCUGCACCAGGACAGAAAGACCCUAUGAAGCUUUACUGUAACUUGAAAUUGAAAUUGGACUUUAUUCGCGCAGUAUAGGUGGGAGGCGUUGAUUAUAAUCUUGCGGGAUUAUUGGAGCCAUUAGUGAGAUACCACUCUUGUAAUGUUAGAUUUCUAACUUUGAAUCAUUAUCUGGUCAAAGAACAGUUUCAGGCGGGCAGUUUGACUGGGGCGGUCGCCUCCUAAACGGUAACGGAGGCGUACAAAGGUUUCCUCUGAACGGUUAGAAAUCGUAUCUAGAGUGUAAAGGCAUAAGGAAGCUUGACUGUGAGACCCACAAGUCGAGCAGGGACGAAAGUCGGUCUUAGUGAUCUGACGGUACUGAGUGGAAAGGCCGUCACUCAACGGAUAAAAGUUACUCUAGGAUAACAGGCUGAUCUCCCCCAAGAGUUCACAUCGACGGGGAGGUUUGGCACCUCGAUGUCGGCUCAUCGCAUCCUGGGGCGGUAGUACGUCCCAAGGGUUGGGCUGUUCGCCCAUGAAAGCGGUACGCGAGCUGGGUUCAGAACGUCGUGAGACAGUUCGGUCCAUAUCCGGUGUAGGCGUUAGAAUAUUGAGAGGAGCCUUCUUUAGUACGAGAGGACCGAGAAGGACAUACCUCUGGUGUACCAGUUAUCGUGCCAACGGUAAACGCUGGGUAGCUAUGUAUGGAGUGGAUAACCGCUGAAAGCAUCUAAGUGGGAAGCCCACCUCAAGAUAAGUAUUCUCA
rnacentral:rRNA from 1 species